UUGGGCGUAAGGGCUCGUAGGUGGUUGAUCGCGUCGGAAGUGUAAUCUUGGGGCUUAACCCUGAGCGUGCUUUCGAUACGGGUUGACUUGAGGAAGGUAGGGGAGAAUGGAAUUCCUGGUGGAGCGGUGGAAUGCGCAGAUAUCAGGAGGAACACCAGUGGCGAAGGCGGUUCUCUGGGCCUUUCCUGACGCUGAGGAGCGAAAGCGUGGGGAGCGAACAGGCUUAGAUACCCUGGUAGUCCACGCUGUAAACGGUGGGUACUAGGUGUGGGGUCCAUUCCACGGGUUCCGUGCCGUAGCUAACGCUUUAAGUACCCCGCCUGGGGAGUACGGCCGCAAGGCUAAAACUCAAAGGAAUUGACGGGGCCCCGCACAAGCGGCGGAGCAUGCGGAUUAAUUCGAUGCAACGCGUAGAACCUUACCUGGGUUUGACAUGGAUCGGGAGUGCUCAGAGAUGGGUGUGCCUCUUUUGGGGUCGGUUCACAGGUGGUGCAUGGCUGUCGUCAGCUCGUGUCGUGAGAUGUUGGGUUAAGUCCCGCAACGAGCGCAACCCUUGUUCACUGUUGCCAGCACGUUAUGGUGGGGACUCAGUGGAGACCGCCNGGGUCAACUCGGAGGAANGUGGGGAUGACGUCAAGUCAUCAUGCCCCUUAUGUCCAGGGCUUCACGCAUGCUACAAUGGCUGGUACAGAGAGUGGCGAGCCUGUGAGGGUGAGCGAAUCUCGGAAAGCCGGUCUCAGUUCGGAUUGGGUCUGCAACUCGACCUCAUGAAGUCGGAGUCGCUAGUAAUCGCAGAUCANCAACGCUGCGGUGAAUACGUUCC
rnacentral:rRNA from 1 species